CGCCACCUAUAUACCCACGUGUGAUGGGUGAGAAAAAAUAUAUAAACAAGAGUAUGUGACCUUAAAUAGGUACAGCUUCCCAAAGGGCCUUCCCAAAUAGCAAGCCCUUUACAACACAAUAUAGAUAAAUACAAAUAUGGGAUACAGCUGUGUAUCUGCAAGAUAAAUUAACAACACUAUGUACUGUGAUAUACAAGUAAUAAGUGUGAUAUUGGUUGCACUCACAAGAAAUCGAUACUAUGAGUGCCUUAAAUCUUUCCCUUUAAGGGAGUUGAGAUUGUAGUUACAUCUGCUUUCCUUGGUGCCAAGAACUGAUGGUUGUCCCAGAAAGGAAUCUCAAGUGUCAGGAUCAGGUUAAUCAAGAUUUAUUUAAGGCAAAAUAAGCCCAUAAAAU